GGAAAGAUGAAAAGAACUUUGAAAAGAGAGUUAAACAGUACGUGAAAUUGUUGAAAGGGAAACGAUUGAAGUCAGUCGUGCUGGCGCGAAAUCAACCCUCUCGUCGAGAGGACACAUGGCGUGGCGAGCCUCAAAACCGUCACGAAGCGUGAACUCUUGGCGAAAAGGAGCACUUUCGUGUCCGCUGGUUAACAUCAAUUUCGAACGUCAUAAAAAGGCUGGAGGGAUGUGGCUCCUUCGGGAGUGUUAUAACCUUUAGCGGAAUGUGGUGGUCGGGAUUGAGGAUUGCAACGAAUACCUUUAGGGCUGUUCCACCUGGCUUCUCUUUGGCAUCCUGGUGACGACAGCUUGCUGACGUUGUUAGGAACAGCCUUUGAACAGGCUAGAGUGUGAGCAAAUUCGUUAAGGAUGUUAACGUAAUGGCUUUAAACGACCGUCUUGAAACACGGACCA
rnacentral:rRNA from 1 species